AACACAAAGCCAACUUGUCAAAACAACAAUCCAAUCCCAAAAAUAUAAUUCCACAUAAUCUCCUUUAUUCCACCACUUGAAUACUAAACAAGAAAUCUGAAACUCGGUGCAGGAAAAUGGCUCAAGCAAUGGCUUCCAUGGCUGUUCUUGAAGGCAGUCUCCAAUUCAGUGGCUCAACCCGCUUGAACGUGCCUAGCAACAACGCACGGGUAGCUAUUUCCAGGCCCGGUCUCACUAUUAGAGCCCACCAACAGGUACCUUCUUCUGCUGAGCCUGAACCUAGCCGCAGGGCCGUACUGGGUCUUGUUGCCGCUGGUUUGGCUUCUGGGUCUUUCGUUCAAGCUGUGCUUGCUGAAGUCCUGCCUAUUAAGGUGGGCCCACCUCCCCCUCCCUCCGGUGGACUGCCUGGGACUCUAAAUUCUGAUCAGCCAAGAGACUUGGAUCUUCCACUGAAGGAGAGAUUUUUCAUUCAACCACUUGAACCAGCUCAGGCAGCAGCAAGGGCCAAGGAAUCAGCUAAGGACAUUGUGAGUGUGAAGCCUCUCAUAGACAAGAAGGCUUGGCCCUAUGUCCAGAAUGAUCUUCGCCUUAAGGCUGAAUUGCUCCGCUAUGACCUCAACACUGUUAUCUCUGCUAAAUCCAAAGAGGAGAAGAAAUUUCUCAAGGAACUCACUGGAAAGCUCUUUCAAUCCAUCAGCGACGUAACAUUCGAAACUGUUUUCCUUCAUUUUUCUGUUAAAUAUAUACUUUGAUUGUGUAAAGAAUGUGCUCCUUAUGGAUUUUUCCCCCUGUUUUUACCGUUCAGCUGGACCAUGCAGCCAAGAUUAAGAGCACCCCAGAGGCAGAGAAGUACUAUGCCCAGACUUUAUCUACUCUGAAUGAUGUUCUUGCUAAGCUUGGCUAAGUGAAUUCAUGUAUUUUAUUGCAAGCUUUGUCAAUCACUUUCUUUUGAAUGCUAUUUGAAAGGAGUGUAGUUGGAGGAGAAAAUAAUUGACUUCUUGCUUUUGUUUCUAUUCAGCAGAUUGUGCAUACUAAUUAAUUAGGAUAAUUUAAUUGCCAAAGCAAGAAAAAUAAAUUUAUUGAAAUAAUUAACCAUUAAGACAUUUCUGUUGGUGAAUAUUGACCUGAGAGGUCCAUAAUUUAAGCUAGUCUAAGCAGAGAAAGCCUGGAGAUUGAACAUCCAAAAUUGAUCUUGCUCAUAAUUCUCAAAAUCAAUGGUCCAUUCUUCCUUCAAAACAAUUGUUACUGCAGAAGUUUAAUUUCCCGCAAGAAUUUAGGGUCUGUAUCAUUAUGAUAAUCAGUAAUGGUAGCCAGAACUUCAACAAAAAUGCAUUUCUAUAGUAUAUAAAUAUGAAAAUUCUGCACAGAAUCCCAAUUCCGGGGGAAGAAUUACAAGGGUAAUUAAUUCCUGGGGAUGUUUUCUUUCACAAGUUCAGUCAUCCAAACAUAGAACAUAUUGAAAACUAAACUUGGCACCAGCGCAACCACAAGCACUUAAUCCAGAAUUCAACUGCUAUUCUGAACUUAGAGAAGUCUUCACAUUACAUAAUUAAAAUUUUAAAAAUAAAUAAAUAAAGCCAAUAGACUAAAAUGUUAUUCCAAGGCCAUCUCAAGUCAGGCGGAAGAAAUUGUGUUUAUGCUAAGGCCUAAGCGGAAAGAAGAAAAAGAUGCAAGAAGCUAGUUCCUUAGAGCUGCUCUGCCUUUAGCAGCUGCAUCAAUGGUCCUGCAGACCUAUUCUGGUAGCAUACUGCUAAGAGUUAUCAAGCUGGGUGGAAUCAUAUGACAGCACUUGUUAUCUUGGUUGCAGGGGAUUGGUACCUGGUGGGUGAUUUUCCCCGGUUUCACGUUACAGGUAAAAGCCUAAAAUUUCACGUUACAUAAAAUCUUAAUGAUUAUAUUGAUUGGAUAUCUAAACAUAUUAUCAAAAUUAUAUAACCCAAUUAUAACACUAGGAAUGGUCAAUAAUAUGGGAACAUUAAACAUAAACAUUAUACUCGAAUGUUAUUGUGUGAUAUUAUGAUAUUAUAAUCAAGAAAUUAUUGUGAUAUUAUGACAUUUUGGUGUGAGUAAUAAACUUUAUUACAGGUCCAUAGAAAUGGAAGGAAUGCUUAAUUUGUUAUAUCUCACUUUUACAUGUGUCCAACUUAGCAUAAGACAUGAACCUCAACAGGUAUAGUAUUGUGCAAGAGCUCUGACCAGAACCAUGACUUUCAUAUAUUCCAUUUAUGUAUUCAAUUUAUAAAUUUUUAUAGUUAUAUUUGUUAAUCCAUCAACUGUAAUGAUCUUUUUAACGAUUUAUUUAUUUUUUACAUUUAUUUAUUUACUUUUUAUGAUUAUUAUGAUGUUAUAUUCACUGUAUUACAGUUGCAUAUCUCUCUCUAGCGAUAGAGAGAAAUUUCCUCUCUUUCGUCCCGUUUGCCUAAGGUUCCAAGGCCUGUAGGUCUACUAAUCUACAGCGGCAUGGUGGUUUCUGGUUGGUUUUAUGCUUGGGUCCCUGACACUUCUAGGAGGUUGAAGAGAUUUGGUUGUGGGGUGGCAACUCAUAAGAUUUGAGAAAUCAACCCAACCUAAAGGCCAAGAGAGAUGCUAAAAAGUGGAUCACCUCUCACCCCUUAGCUACCAUUGCUCUUCGACGUGACUCUAUUUUUCCAUGGUGCUGAGUUUUCUUCUUUGUUCAUGGGUCUUACGGGUUAGCUUAACAACUGAGGAAUACGUUAAUGGGGUAACUUCUUUUUGAUAGGCUAUGGCGAAUUCUGGUUCCUUUAUGUUUCACUUUAUGGGAAAUUUCCUUAGUUGGCUUUACUUGUGGGAGUUCGGACAGCAGUGUCUCUUCUACUUUUAGCCUUCGCCUAUGUUUAGGUUUUCCUUUGCAAGUCGAUUGUAGGGCUAGGGUUCUCUUUGGAGCUGUUCCAUUGAUUUUUUUUUUUAUUGGGUGAAUUACUUAUUCACCAUUUUCCAUCUUUUACUUUUAUCUAUUAAG
rnacentral:misc_RNA from 1 species